UGGGGAAUAUUGGACAAUGGGCGCAAGCCUGAUCCAGCCAUGCCGCGUGAGUGAUGACGGCCUUAGGGUUGUAAAGCUCUUUCGCUGGGGAAGGUUCCGACCUAAUACGUCGGGACCUUGACGUUACCCAAAGAAGAAGCACCGGCUAACUCU
rnacentral:rRNA from 1 species